rnacentral:lncRNA from 1 species
UCCGGAUGGAGGGAGUACAUUGUUUGGUCGUGGCAUAUUAAGGAUGGCCAGUUCACCUGAUGGAUAAACACGUAAUGAAUGGAUGGAGUGUUCAAGUCGCCCGUGUUUUUCAUCGAUAACAUCAGCUACAAGUUGGACCAGAGUUCCUCACAUGCAUGUAUCAUAGUGGUUUCAUCAGCGGUGUGCCCUACACCCAUUUAUCAUACAAUAUCUCUGUAGUAUGUGCAUUCCCAAUUUUUCACAACAUACCCUCCUUCAAACGUUCUCGCCCUUUCAGAAUAGCAUGCCAAGUUAGCGAUGCACUAUGCGGGAACCCGCAUUUGAAAAAAGAAAGAAUCUCAUUUCAUGGUAUCUUCCAUGAAGGACCCUCGUACACGAGCUAUCUAGAUAGAAAUAGCCAUGUGUGUUUAGCCAACUUUGCAUAAGUGAAUAUAUCAAGGUCAUGGUACCCCAAGCCUCCAAUUACACCCGACCUCUCUACCAACAAGAUGUCCAAAUACAUCAAGGAUAGACACAUCCAAAAAAGAAAAUAAAAAGAACAGAAGAAAAAAAAUACCCCUCUAGGGUGAUCAAUCGCUAGCAUGCAUCAGCAGCACUCUAACCACCACCGAAGACUAUGCCCAGAUUACAAAAAAGGUUCUCCAAAAGCAACGCCCCCAAGAAGGAAACAAUGCACAAGCGUUGUCGUUACCCGAUCGAAGAUCGUGGGUUUUCACCCACGAAAAAUAGUGAGUUCACCCAAAAACAAUGCCUUCAACAAGGCCAUUGCCAAGUACAACCAAUGAGGGCCAGACCUUGGGGUUUCACCCUAGGAAUUGAGAAUCUAUACUCGAGGAGUACCACCAAAAAUGCAUCACCCUCCUCUCAAUCCAAACUUGCAGAAAAAGAUCAAUGAUGCCGCAUCGUGCCACCCAUAUCCGUGGAGGCCUGAACUUGGCAAGACACCAACCAUGGCUGGAGAUGGGGACCAGCCACUCCUGGCCAGAUCUGGUGACUCCUAGUCCCACCACUACCGCUACGGUGGCACCACGUGUAGCAUACCAGAUUCCAUGGGUGUUAGAAUCAUUACUAUGUAAUCUAGAUUAUUGACUCUCGUGCAAGUGGGAGACUGGAGGAAAUAUGCCCUAGAGGCAAUAAUAAAGUUGUUAUUUAUAUUUCCUUAUGUCAUGAUAAAUGUUAAUUGUUCAUGCUAGAAUUGUAUUAACCGGAAACUUAGUGCAUGUGUGGACAUAGACAAAACAAAGUGUCCCUAGUGUGCCUCUACUGGACUAGCUCGUUAAUCAAAGAUGGUUAUGUUUCCUGACCGUAGACAUGUGUUAUCAUUUGAUGAACGAGAUCAAACCAUUAUAGAAUGAUGUGAUGGACAAGGCCCAUACGUUAGCUUAGCAUAAUGAUCGUUAAAUUUUAUUGCUAUUUCUUUCUCCAUGACUUAUACAUGUUCCUCUGACUAUGAGAGUAUGCAACUCCCGAAUACCGGAGGAACACCUUGUGUGCUAUCAAACAUCACAACGUAAUUGGGUAAUUAUAAAGAUGCUCUACAGGUGUCUCUGAAGGUGUUUGUUGAGUUGGCGUAGAUCGAGAUUAGGAUUUGUCACUCCGUGCAUCAGUGAGGUAGCUCUGGGCCCUCUCGAUAAUGCUCAUCACUAUAAGCCUUGCAAGCAAUAUGACUAAUGAGUUAGUUAUGGGAUGAUGCAUUAUAGAACGAGUAAAGAGACUUUUCGGUAACGAGAUUGAACUAGGUAUGAAGAUACCAACAAUCGAAUCUCAGGCAAGUAACAUACCGAUGACAAAGGGAACAAUAUAUGUUGUUAUGCGGUUUGACCGAUAAAGAUCUUCGUAGAAUUUGUGGGAACCAAUAUGAGCAUCCAGGUUCCGCUAUUGGUUAUUGAUCGGAGAUGUGUCUCGAUCAUGUCUACAUAGUUCUCGAACCCGUAGGGUCUACACGCUUAAUGUUUGAUGACGAUUUUUAUUAUGAGUUAUGUGUUUUGGAGACUGAAGUUUGUUCGGAGUCCCGGAUGAGAUCACGGACAUAAUGAGUCUCUAAAUGGUCGAGAGGUAAAGAUUGAUAUAUUGGAAUAUUACAUUCGGACACCGGAAUGGUUUUGGGAAGUUUCGUAUAAGUUUUGAAGUACCAGGAGUUUAUCGGAAUCCNNNNNNNNNNNNNNNNNNNNNNNNNNNNNNNNNNNNNNNNNNNNNNNNNNNNNNNNNNNNNNNNNNNNNNNNNNNNNNNNNNNNNNNNNNNNNNNNNNNNNNNNNNNNNNNNNNNNNNNNNNNNNNNNNNNNNNNNNNNNNNNNNNNNNNNNNNNNNNNNNNNNNNNNNNNNNNNNNNNNNNNNNNNNNNNNNNNNNNNNNNNNNNNNNNNNNNNNNNNNNNNNNNNNNNNNNNNNNNNNNNNNNNNNNNNNNNNNNNNNNNNNNNNNNNNNNNNNNNNNNNNNNNNNNNNNNNCUCCCCUUUGAAAACCCGAAUUGGACAAGGGGUGAGGGCAGCGCCCCCCUUUCCUUCUCGUACUCCCUCUCCUUUCCCCCUUUGCUACUCCGGAAAAAAGGAAAAGGUGGAUGGGCUAAAUCCUACUAGGUUUGGAGUGCUAGUAGAACUCCCCCCUCCAUGGCACUCCCCCUGGUCGCCGGCCUCCUCUCCCCUCCUUUAUAUACAGGGGCAGGGGGCACCCCAAAGGCACAACAUUGUUCUAGCCAUGUGUGGUGCCCCCCCCCCUCUACCGUUUGCUCCUCCAAUAGUAUCACCAUAGUGCUUAGGCGAAGCCCUGCAUGGAUCACAUCAUCAACACUUUCAUCACGCCGCCGUGCUGACGAAACUUUCCCUCGACCCUCUGCUGGAUCAAGAGUUCGAGGGACGUCAUCGAGUUGAAUGUGUGUUGAACUCGAAGGUGUCGUACAUUCGGUGCUAUAUCAGUUGGAUCGUGAAGACAUUCAACUACAUGAACCGCGUUAACAUAACGCUUCCGCUUUUGGUUUACGAGGGUACGUGGACACACUCUCCCCCUCUCGUUGCUAUGCAUCUCCUAGAUAUGUCUUGCCUAAUCGUAGGAAUUUUUUUGAAAUUGCAUGCUACGUUCCCCAACAAAAAAUAUGCAGUGUUGAGAUCGCCAUCUCUGAGCCAGGGAUACGGGGCCGCUGUCGUAGGCAGAUCUCCUCCUGGUGGAGAGCCUCACAUGGCUAACGUACCACUGCUCUUUCUUCCUCAGUUGUCCCUCGACACACCGACCGACACCUUAGCUUGUCCAGCCGAUCUUCUGCAAUUGUCUGACCUGAUGAGUUAAGCAACCAAACUCGCGGGGCCCCAAAGGUUCCAGCUUCGCCUUCAAAUGAUUCAGUGAAUCCGCUAUACCUUGGAGUCUUGGUCCUCUAUUUGCCUCCUGCCACGCAGCAGCAACAACGCGAUCAUAAUCCACAUGCAAUGACCACAUGUUCUCAAAUAUGAAAUGUUUCUUGGCUCGUGACGUGUUCAUAAGAUUUUCCUUUAUCUCCACUGCAAAAAAGCAAUGAUCAGAUUCUACGGAAGGUAGGUGUCUGAUUCUGAUGUAUUGAAAGUGUUGCCAGAACUCUUCACUAGCAAAAGAUCUAUCGAGCCUCGCCUUAACAUUCGCGUCACCUAACUGCCGAUUAUCUCAGGUGUACGUUGUGCCUGACCACCCCAAAUCUUGGAGGGCCACUUCAUCGGUGACUUCUCUGAAAGCUCUCAUUUGUCUCUCUAGCCUAGCUGUCCGACUGAAGUAUUCAUUAGCAUAGAGAGUCUCGUUAAAGUCACCCAUACAAAUCCAAGCCGCAUGCGACAUGGCAUAAAAGUGCGCAGAAAACGCCAACUAUGAUGUCUAUCUUCAGCUCGAGGCGCUCCAUAGAAACUAGUGAACCUCCACUCAAAAGAGUUUUGGUCCUUAUAUUUAACCAUUGCAUCAAUAUGUCCAGGACUAAGAUUCUUUAGAUCGACAAUAACAUCAUGUGUCUAGAAAAGCCCAAUACCACAACUUAGGCCUACACUAUUCACUGCAAAGCACCCGCCGAAGCCUAGAUGUCUAUGCAAGUCCUCAACUCUCUUCCCUUUUAUUUUUGUUUCCGUGACGAAGAGAAGAGUGGGUCCUUGUAGUUCACAAUGAUGCGAAGCUCUCGAACCACCUCGGGGUUCCCAAGCCCCCAGCAGAUCCAUGAGAGGCAACUCAUUGGGCCGGGUAGGACCGAUCACCUGUCUCCGCCGAAUUGUCAAGCGUAGGCUCUUCUUCUUUGGUUCAUGUACCAAGUCCUCAUCAACCUCCCUCCCAGAUGUGCUCGUGCUCGGGUCAUCUUCUUCAGAGUGUUGAGCUGCCGUCAGUAGCAACUGCUUUGGCUGAUACACCACUGUGGGUCCUUCUUUCAUCUUGAAUCGUGUCUUCUCUUUGUUCUUCAAGGGUGAGACCACCUCUCCCCCCCCCCUCCCCGUUUGGUUUGGAUCUAGUACUCGAUUUCUUUGUUCCUUGUUUGCUGCUCUGAUCAGACCUCUCUCCCCUGGAAGAAUUUUCGCUGCUUGCCGGGUAUCUGUUCUAAUCAGGAGCUCUCAGUUUCGGCCCAAAAGGAAGCUCGCCCUUCUCAUCUCUUGAUCCUGGAUUGCAGUAGUAGAGUUCUGAGUGGCCCAGCCGUCCACAGGAGAAACAGAAGUAUGGGGUCUGUUCAUACUGUAUGUUAUAGGAGUCCACCUUCUUCCUCCUUGCAAAAUCAAUGAGCACCCAUCUCCUGAGCGGUUUGUUGACAUCCACAGAAACUCUAGCUUGGAGAUAGCCUCCAUUGUUAUUAAACUUAACAAUCUGGACCGCCUUGUCGAUCAUCCGUGCUAUUAGGAGGCCCCAUGCAUCAUUUCUCAGGUUGUAGGGUAGGUUAAAAACCCUAGCCCACACCUGCAAACUAUCGAACUUGACCUCAUAUGGGCGCAUGCAAUCUUCAAACUCAGCCAGUAUGAUCGUGUUCUUGUUGAUGUGCCAAGGCGAUCCAGCCCAAACACUGUCACAAUCGUGUUGAGACUCGAAUUCGGCAACGUAACUAUUCAUUCCAACCGAACGGAAUUGCAGUCCUCUAGGGUUUUCCCAUGCCGGUCGAAGAGCAUUGCCAAUGGUAUGUAUAUGAUACUGGUUUCAUUAUAGGACCUUGCCCUCCAGCAACCACUUCACCGAAGCACCUUCAAGACGAUCAUCAAUCAUGAGGGGAGUCGCCUCUUCCUCGGAUAUGUCCAGCUUCCCCAGAGCUUCCUUCCUCUAGUUUCUCCCUUGCCGAUCUAGGGUUGCUCGAGCCGGAGUUCUCCUGCGCCUCUUCUGCCGCGGGUGGUGUUGCCAUCGCCGAUGAGACCCGACAUGCUAGUAAUCAUAGUAAACGCACACUAAAAUUCAAGGUUGCAUGCAUGGCCAACAGCUACCUAGGUCACGUACGUACACGACCGGACUGUGAACAAGAGAGAUCGGGGAAGCAAUGCACCUUAGGUGCUGCUGUAUUCCUCUUGGGGUAUAUAUGGUGUUAAAGUACAACAGAGAGAGCGCAUGGCGCAGUGGGGCGACGUGCUGCAGAUCGUGGUGAUCGUGCAUGUCGUGGGAGAGCUAUACAGCUGAGCUAUACAACUGGUGUCAGUUAACACCCCACCGCAGUUUGAGCGUCCGGCGGUCGGAUGCACAAGCUGGAAUGAAAGUCCUCGAACGCCGCCGUGGGCAGCCCUUUGGUGAGCACGUCGGCGAACUGUUGCUGCGUCGGCACAUGCAGGACACGAAGUUGCCCGAGCGCCACCUUCUCGCGGACAAAGUGGAUGUCCAACUCGAUGUGUUUGGUGCGGCAAUGGUGAACGGGGUUGGCCGCCAUGUACACGGACGAGAUGUUGUCGCAGAAGACGACACUGGCCUUGGUCAGGGGCACGUGGAGCUCGCCGAGAAGUUGACGAAGCCAGCAGCUUUCAGCGACGGCGUUGGCCACGGCGCGGUACUCUGCUUCGGCGCUCGAAUGGGACACCGUGGCCUGGCAUUUGGAGGACCAGGAGACCAAGGAGUCACCGAGGAAGAUGGCCUAGCCUGACAUGGAGCGGCGUGUGUCGGGGCACCCUGCCCAGUCGGCGUCGGAGUAGGUGACGAGCUCGAGAGGAGACGCGCGCUGUAGGUGUAGACCGUGCGUGGUGGUGCCGCGCAGAUAACAAAGUAUUCGUCUGACCAGAGCGAGGUGAGGAGCACGCGGGUCAUGCAUGACGAGGCAGCACUGCUGGACGGCAUAGGCGAUGUCGGGCUGCGUCAUGGUCAUGUACUGGAGUGCACCGACGAGACUGCGGUACUCUGAGGGAUCGGAGACGGGUGCACCAUCGGUGGCGGAGACCUUGGUGCGGGCGUCGACCAGAGUGGACACGGGCUUGCAGGCCUGCAUGUUGGCGCGGUCUAGAAGCUCCUCUGCGUACUUGUGUUAUGACAGGUAGAAGCCACGCUCGCUGCGGGUAACCGCGAUGCCGAGAAAAUAGUGCAGUGGCCCGAGGUCCUUCAUGGAGAACUCCGCGAAGAGCUGUCGUUGCAGGUGUUGGAGCAGUGUAGUCGACGAGGCGGCAAGGACGAUGUCGUCGACGUAGAGCAGGAGGUAUGCCAUGCCGCUGCUGUUGUGGAGGACGAACAGCGAGGGAUCGGCGCGUGAGCUGGAGAAGCCGAUCCGACGAGCGUACGCCGCGAAGCGGGCAAACCAGGCAUGGGGCGCCUGCUUGAGGCCGUACAAUGAUUUGUCGAGGAGACAAACGUGGUCGGGAUGGGCGUCGUCGACGAAGCCGGCCAGCUGUUGACAGAGGACCUGCUCGGAGAGGCGCCUGUGGAGGAAGGCGUUGUUCACGUCCAUCUGGUGAACCGGCCAGUCGCGAGAAGCAGCAACGGUGAGCACCACGCGAAUGGUGGCAGCCUUGACCACGGGGGAGAAGGUCUCGUCGAAGUCGACCCCUGGGCGUUGGGAGAAGCCGCGGACGACCCAGCGUGCUUUGUACCGCUCCAGGGUGCCGUCGGCUUUGAACUUGUGCCGGAACAGCCACUUGCCGGUGACGAUGUUGGCGCCGGCUGGUCAGGGAACGAGUCGCCAUGUCUGGUUGUCCAUCAGAGCCUGUACUCCACCUGCAUCGCAGACAGCCAACAUGGAUCGCGCAGAGCAGCCUGCACACUCUUUGGAACGGGGGAGAUGGAUAUGUCAGUGGUAGCGGAGAGGCUGGUGUUAAAUUUAGGGUUUGGGAGGAAUUUGCCGGCCUGCGCGCGGGUUUGCAUGGGGUGGCUGGGAGGGGGGCGCGCGUCGAUGGACGGUGGAUGCUGGCGGGGGAUCCGUGUCCUCGACAGGCGGUUCGACUGGCAGGAUGGCAGCGUCCGGGGUCGGGGUUGGGUGGGGAGGUGUUGGCGGCGACAGCGCGGCUAUGGUAGGGGAGUGCGGCGCGGCAGCUGGUACAGUAGGCGUGCCAGGCGGAGAGGGCGGUGGCGCUGCGGCGGUAGCGGGUGGUGCAGCAGCGUCAUGACGCUCAUGAGGGCGUAGGGAGCGCGGACACCGUGGCACGAGUGGCGCGAUCGCGUGAUCGAGGGGUGUCAGCCGGUGGUGCAGGGGCAGGUGUUUGAAAUGGGAACGUGUGUUCAUCAAACACGACAUGGCGUGAUAUGACGACGCGCCCGGUCAUCCUGUUUAGACACCUAUAGCCCUUGUGGUCAGGUGAGUACCCGAGAAGGACGCAGGGUGCGGAGCGGGGCGCGAGCUUGUGGGGCGUGGUGGGCGUCAUGUUGGGGUAACAUAGACAUCCAAAGACGCGGAGCGAGGUGUAGUCUGGGUGCGAUCCAUAGAGUAGAAAGAAUAGAGUUUGGUCAUGUCGAGGAUGGCAUGGUCGACGGUUGAGAAGGAAUGAGGUAGUCUGAAGUGCCUCCGCCCAGUACUCGUAGGGCAUGUGUGCAUGCACGAGGAGUGAGCGAGCAAUGUCAUUGAGCGUGCGCAGGGCGCGCUCGGCCCGUCCAUUCUGUGGCGAGGAGUACGGGCAUGACAUACGAAGGACAACGCCAAGGGAGGAGAAGAGCGUGCGAGCGGCCUGGUUAUCAAAUUAUCUGCCAUUGUCUGUUUGUAGGGUGAGAACUGGGAGAUUAAAGUGAUUACGCACAAAGGUGAAGAAGUGGCGCAGUUUAGGAAAGACGUCUGAUUUAUGCUUGAGCGGGAAGGUCCAAGCGAAAUGGCUGUAAUCAUCGAGUAAUAGGAGAUAAUAUUGACAACCAGAUAUGCUCAUAAUGGUCGAUGUCCAUACAUCACAAUGAACUAACUGGAACGGAAAAAACGACACAUGAUCGGAUGAACUAAAAGGUAGCCUAGUACUUUUGCCUAGUUGACAAGCAUGACAGACAUGGCCGCCGCCGCCCGUGUGGUCGAUGGAGGAACGACGGAGGGUGUGAUCAAGGGCAUCAGCGCCAAGGUGCCCGAAGCGCUGGUGCCACAAGUCACGCGAGACGGCGGUGAGUGCAUGAUGAGCCUGGACUGGUGCAUGGGGCAUGGGGUAGAGCUCGUCGUCGACAGAGUUACACCGAAGGAUCACCUUCCUCGUGCUUCGAUCCUUAAGAGAGAAACCAAUAUCAUCAAACUCAACAUUAACAGGGUUUUCGCGAGCGAGCUUUUUGACAGAGAUUAGGUUUUUGAUGAGGUGGGGUGAGACUAGGACGUUGUUGAGGGACAGGGGGGGUGUGGGUGGGGAUAUUGAGAUGCCCGGAGUGCGUGACUGCAAAGGAAUCCCCAUUGCCGACUACAAUGCGAGCAGAAUGACAAGGCUGUGAGGAUGAUAGCAUACCAGAGGAGGAGGCCAUGUGCGAUAUGGCUCCUGUGUCGAGGUACCACUCCGCGCCGGGCAGUGUGAUCGGUUGCUGCUGCUGCAUCGUCAGGUUGUUGAGGGCCUGGACGAGGGAGGCUUGAUCCCAGCUGGGCAUGGAAGAAGCAGCAGAGCCCACGGCCGGCGCUCCGUACAGCGGAUGAGGCGGCACGGCGGGCUGCCAAACAGUCGGCAGCCCGUAGUUGGUGUUGUUGUUGGGCGCCGCAGACUGGUGGUAGGCCAUGCCGGCGAACGGCGCGGCACCGCCAGGGCGUGGCCCGAGAAUGCCGGCGCCCGGAGCAUGCGGACGCCAUGGCAUGGGCCAGGCGUGCACCAUGCCAGUCCAUGGUGCCGGGGCUGGAGCAGCGGGACGAGGUGGCGCGCCGCCCCCGCCGGAGUUGGAGGACUGCCCCCCGCCGUAGUGAGAGCUCUUGCCCUUGCCCUUGUUGCGUCCGCCACCGCCGCGGGUGGUGCCACCACCACUGUUCCCGCCGCCGUUGUUGGUGUUGGGAGCACGGGCGGCAUGGAGAGCGGUGUCCGUGGUGGUGUCAGCGGCCUGAUGGCUUUCCUCCAGGAGUAGAAAAGCGCGGCAGCGGAGGAAGGUGGGGAAGGGGGUCUGCAUUGUGAGGAUAGGUAUGGCGUAGCGAAAGCGCGGGUGCAGCCCGCGGAUCAUGUUCAGUACCUGAUCACGAUCGUCGACAAGGGCGCCGAGGUCGGCGAGGCGUUCGGCGCACUCCUUGAGCUUGGUGAAGAAGGAGAUGGUGGACAUGUUGCCUUGCUCGAGAGGACGAAAUUCGGUGGCGAGGAGGACCACCUGGUGCUCGCUGUUCUCGAGGAAGAGGGUGCAGAUGGCGGCCCACACCUCCGCCGCGGUCACACCACGCUGAUGGAUGAGCGCGAAGAUGUCGGCACUGAUGCGGUUGUAGAGCCUGGACACGAUGUGAGCGUCGUCCUGCAUCCAGCCCGGAUCAGCACGGCGCGGUGCGCCGGUGAUGUGGCCGGCGACGCCGCUCUUCUGGAACAUCACUUCGAACAGGGUGCGCCAGUGGGAGAAGUUGGGAGGGUUGAGGGAGAGCACGAUCGGGACGUGCUGGUUGAUGUACACGCCGGAGAGGGGAGAUGGGUUGGACGGUGCAGUGGAGGAGGUGGCGCUGGGGUCGGGGACGAACAGAGCACCACCGUGGUUGAGGAGGGAGGGGGUGAGGAGUGUGGGGCGGCGAGCCGCUGGGGUAGCAAGAGAGCCGCCGGCGCAUCCACCGAAACCAAAGCCGGGCGGGGGAGGAGGUGGUGAAGGGGCGGCCAUGGCUGGGUGUGGUGGAGCAGUUGGCAGGAGAGUGCAGCGGAAGAGGUCUAGCGACGCAGGAGGAGACCGGCGUCUGAUACCAUGUGAACAAGAGAGAUCGGGGAAGCAAUGCACCUUAGGUGUUGCUGUAUUCCUCUUGGGGUAUAUAUGGUGUUACAGUACAACAGAGAGAGCGCAUGGCGCAGUGGGGCGACGUGUUGCAGAUCGUGGUGAUCGUGCAUGUCGUGGGAGAGCUAUACAGCUGAGCUAUACAGCUGAGCUAUACAACUGGUGUCAGUUAACACGGACGAUGGAAAUGGACACCUAGAACCGGUGGGCCUAUGACUACCACUGCCGACCUGACACGUGGCCGCAUGCAUGGAGUACGGCGAUUCUCCGGAAGCUGAUGUCAUGAGGCCAGUCUACCACGUGUGUCACACUAUGUCCAUGUAAACAAACGCUUUGGUUUGGCAGUUAACUCGUGGUGAUAUGCAACUAGUGGAGUAGUUUCUUAAAGUCAAUAGUACGUCUUUAGGUUUGGUUUCCAGGGUUAUUAAAAUUCAUGGACAGAAAAACUGUAGGACUAAAGUAUCACGACCUUUUCAUUUCUAUUUCUAGGAAUUUGGAAAGCUACGGCCUACGUGAGUAUGCAUUGUAGACUGUUAGACGCCACAAGAAAAAGAAACAAAUUUGUAACAGAAGCUUCGAGUGCAUGAAAAUUUUCCUUCAAAAUAGAGUACAUGAAUUCACUAAAAUAAUCUAAGGAUUUCAAUCAAUGAGUUCCAUAUGGAGGAAAAACUAAAUUGUAUGAAAUCCCUUUGAGCCAAAGAAUAAUCCUGUGAGUAAUGGCUAAUUCCACAUUACAUAUUUGAACUAUGAAACUUGAUUCCCGCAAAAUAAAAACAGAACUAUGAAACUUGACAAAUGAAUCCAUCUUUAACGAAGAGGAAAACUGCAAUAAAUAAAAUUUAUGGUAGAUUUUUAAAUAAUGUAAUGUUAUGGAUAUUGUCAUUUGCUUAUAUUGAUGGUCCAACAAAAAAAUGUGUUUGUAUAUACACCACAUUCUUUUUUGAAACGGGACUUCUAGCCUAGUGGCAAAAUCGCGCUGGUGCAUCUUGGCAGACUCAAACCCGUAUCCGUGGGCGAGAUAUUAUUUCACGGCCUAAAACUCGACGUCUCACACCCUCCUUCUUAAUUAAAAUGCCACGCGGCUCCUCCCCCAUUGGUCUAGUAUACUACACUUAUAGUAAAAGGACCUUUUUUGUUUGGCAAAUGGGGCUAUUUUAGAUAUUUGAACCCUAAAUUACUAGUAGGUAGCCAAGAGCCCAAGAGAUGGCGGCUUCACGGAAACCAAACCACUGAGUUUGUAAUGAACUAGCCGGUUCUAGUUGCCAUAGGAUGUCAUUGUCACUCGAACCACAAAUCAAACAAGUUGGUCAUGCGGUGGUGUUUGGUCUGACAUGACAAGUUAGUCGGCUCGAUCGAUCGGUCCACUCAGGACCCGGUUCCUCAAACAAACUUGUCACUACUUCUCAUGAUUCUUUCUGGCCAAUGUGUGAAACAACGAAAUUCGAGCAUUCCUUUGGCGAUACUCAAUACAUCUUACCUCCACUUGAUGAUGAUGAAUAGGCCAAGUACUUCUUCCGACGCGCUCAUCGAGGAUUAAGAUGAAGCGCAUGACUACAUCACUAAAGGAAAUCUCUUCAGUGUUCAGCGAGCUGUACAUCAACAGAGUGAAGCUUUGGGCGACCGCAUCGAGCAACUCGCCACCGACUUAUGCCAAUCGGAAGCAAGGAACCGGGUCUAUCUUGACUCCAAAGCUAUCCACCCGAAUGGAAGAAUUUCGGCACAUGAUGGUCAACCACGCGUCUUCAACAUCUCCGUCUUCAAGACGGCGGUACUCAAGUCGACACUCUUCGGACACCUCUUCAGAUGGAAGUCUACCAUGAGCUCAUUCUCAUCUUUGAGACGACCAUCAUGAUUAUCAAGCUUCAUAAAAUUCAUUCCAUGGUAAUGGUUUACAAGACCUCCUUCGAGAGCGCGAACGACAUCGUCGCCAAGAACAAGAUGCCAUGGACCAAGAGCAAUCCCCACGACGUCACCGCCAAGAAAACCAAGACGGCGACACACUAUGGAAAGAACAACAAUGCUGUGAGAACCAAGCACUUGAAUCACAACUUGCCCUUCGAGAAGCCACACGCGCCGUCCAAGAGAAGAACCGCCGAAUGUGUGAGCAAGAAGAAGCGCUAUGCCAAGCGCAACAAGAUGAAGCCGCUCACAUUGAGGAACACAAAAGGACGAACCAUGCACGAAUCCCUCACCCCCAAUGUCAAACUAAUCAAGAGGGGCAAGAGGUUGAAGACCCACCUCCAAGACACGAGCGACGACACCAUAGGCAUAAUGACGAGCAAAGCUACGGUAAACUCAAGUUUGACAUACCUAAGUUCUUCGGAGGCACUGAUCCCAAAGACUGCCUCUCAUGGGCCUUAAAAGUGGACAAUAUAUUAUUCUUCAUAAAUACGAUGAGGAAGAGAAGGUAGCAAUGGCAUCACUUGAGUUCCAAGAUUAUGUUUUCAUUUGAUGGGAGCAAGUCAUCGAGCGACUCCAAGAGAAAGGUGAAUCACCCAUCAUAACUUGGACACAAUUGAAGGAUGUCAUGGGAGCCAGUUUUGCGCCUACACACUAUAGCCAUCAUCUCUUCAAGAAGCUACAACUCCUCAAGGAAGGCACAAAGUCGGUUGAAGACUACUACGUAGAAAUGGAGAUUGCUAUCAUUCGAGCCAAUUUCAAGGAAGAUGACGAGCAAACUAUGGAGCGUUUCUUGAAUGGACUCAACCAUCCUAUCAAGAAAAUUGCGGAUUUCCAACAAUACUCCAACCUCCUCGAGCUAGUACAUUAAGCAACCAAGGCGGAGUGACAAGUACAAGAUGACUUCAAGUACUCCAAGUACUCUUUCAAGACCUAUGGUUCAUAUACUCAAGCUUCCAAAACCAUGACACCUCCAACAACUACUAGUCGAGCUCCAACAAGCAAUGACGACAAGUCAAGUUCUAAGCAACCAAUGACUUCGUAGAUUCGUUCCACUAAAAGAAACUAUAAACAUGGAUCUUCAUCCUCCACUUCCAUCCAAUAUUUCACUUGCAAGGGUCGCGGCCACAAGACAGUUGAGUGUCCCACAUGGCGCACCAUGAUUGCCAAUGAUGACGACACAUACGACUCCAUGAGCGGUCAAAGAAAUGGAAGCCUUGGAACACGUUGUCAUGCACCAUCAAGUGAAUGAAGAUGAAGGCGCUCAAGUCAUUUGUGAGAAUGAUUCAAGCCCCGCUCUCAUUGUCUCCAAGUUCUUGACACUUCAACAACAAUAAGACGAAGACCAACGUUGCCAUAUCUUCCACACCAAAGAGGGCAUUGAUGACCCACAAGUGUAGGGGAUCUAUCGUAGUCCUUUCGAUAAGUAACAGUGUCGAACCCAACGAGGAGCAGAAGUAAAUGAUAAGCUGUUUUCAGUAAGGUUUUCUGCAAGCACUGAAAUUGUAGGUGAUCGAUAGUUUUAUGAUAAGAUAAAUAGUAACGAGUAACAAGUAAAUAAAGUAAAUAAGGUGCAGCAAGGUGGCCCAAUCCUUUAUGUAGCAAAGGAUAAGCCUGGACAAUUUCUAAUAAUGACAAAGGAGCUCCCGAGGACACAUUGGGAAUUAUCGUCAAGCUAGUUUUCAUCACAUUCAUAUGAUUUACGUUCGGUACUUAGAUAAUUUGAUAUGUGGGUGGUUUGGUGCUUGGGUACUGCCCUUACUUGGACAAGCAUCCCACUUAUUAUUAACCCCUAUUGCAAGCAUCCGCAACUAAAACAAAAGUAUUAAGGUAAACCUAACCAUAGCAUGAAACAUAUGAAUCCAAAUCAGCCCCUAACGAAGCAACGCAUAAACUAGGGUUUAAGCUUCUGUCACUCUAGCAACCCAUCAUCUACUUAUUACUUCCCUAUGCCCUCCUCUAGGCCCAAUAAUGGUGAAGUGUCAUGUAGUCGACGUUCACAUGAGACCACUAGAGGAGAAGACAACAUACAUCUCAUCAAAAUAUCGAACGAAUACCAAAUUCACAUGACUACUAAUAGCAAGACUUCACCCAUGUCCUCAGGAACAAACGUAACUACUCACAAAGCAUAUUUAUGUUCAUAGUCAGAGGUGUAAUAAUAUGAAUUAAGGAUCUGAACAUAUGAUCUUCCACCAAGUAAACCAACAAGUAUCAACUACAAGGAGUAAUCAACACUACUAGCAACCCACAGGUACCAAUUUGUGGUUUUGGAUACAAGAAUGGAUACAAGAGAUGAACUAGGGUUUGAGAGGAGAUGGUGCUGGUGAAGAUGUUGAUGGAGAUUGACCCCCUCCCGAUGAGAGGAUCGUUGGUGAUGACGUUGGUGAUGAUUUCCCCCUCCCGGAGGGAAGUGACCCCGGCAGAACAGCUCUGCCAGAGCCCUAGAUUGCUUCCGCCAAGGUUCCGCCUCGUGGCGGCGGAGUUUCGUCCCGUAAGCUUGCCCCCGAUUUUUCUAGGAUAAAAGUGAUGAUAUAGCAGAAGAUGGACGCCGGAGGCCCACCAGGGGGGCCAGGAGAUAGGGGGUGUGCCCUAUAGGGGGCGUCCCCUGUCUCCUGGACAGGGUGUGGGCCCCCUGGACUAUUUCUUUCGCUCAGGAAUUCUUAUAAAUCCCAAAAAGUUGUUUCGUGGAGUUUCAGGACUUUUGGAGUUGUGCAGAAUAGGUUUCCAACGUUUGCUCCUUUUCCAGCCAGAAUUCCAGCUGCCGGCAUCCCCCCUCUUCAUGGUAAACCUUGUAAAAUAAGAGAGAAUUGCCAUAAGUGAUGACAUAUAUUGUGUAAUAACAGCCCAUAAUGCAAUAAAUAUUGAUAUAAAAACUUGAUGCAAAAUGGACGUAUCAACUCCCCCAAGCUUAAACCUUGCUUGUCCUCAAGCGGAAGCCGAAAUCGAAAAUAUGUCCACAUGUUUAGAGAUAGAGGUGUCGAUAAAAAUAAAAUACGGACAUGAGGGCAUCAUGAUCAUUCUAAUAACAGCAACAUAUAUAGAUUUUGUCAUAUGAUUUCCUAUGCUUAAGUAACAAGCAAUUCACAAUGUCAAAUAUGGUUCAGAAACUUCAUUGGGAACUAACAAACUAUAAUCUCAGUCAUUGAAGCAAUUUCAAUUUAUCGUAACAUCAGAAAGAGUCAAUAAAAGAGCUUUUCAGCAAGCUCACAUACUCAACUAUCUCAUAGUCCUCUACAGUUGCUAACACUCACGCGGUACUUUAUGGUUAUGGAGUUUCAGCCGGACACUGAGAAAGAUAGGGGCUUAUUGCGUUGCCUCCCAACGUAUUCACCUUUGGGAUAUGUAUACCAGUGGCAGCCCUUAGAACAGACACGGCCAGUUUGCAAAUUUUAAAACAUAAGUUUUUUAGCGCGCAUGAAAAACAGAAUACGUAUCUUUUCAAACAUAAUGAACUAUAGUUACUGUUCGGUGAUAUUUUGUCAUGGUUUUGCGAGUUUAAAAAUUUCAAAUCAUAAUUGGAAGUUCGAGAAAAUAUCAACUGGGUUCUCAUUUGCCAAGUGAAAAAGAAAUCAUAGUGAUGUACAGGGGUGGUGACAAUCAGACGCUGAGGACACACACGCGUGAGGCAUCUUAGAAUUUUACGUGGCUUAGUAGAUGGCAGCGUUCUCUAAGAAAAAAAGAUUAUAAAUGGGACCCAUAGCUAAAGAGGAAUAAUAAGUACACAUGGUGGAUUGAUUGGUACGUGCUGGAUUACUUGGACCAUUCGCUACUACGUGCACAUACAUGUUUAGAUGCAUGCACAAGUGACAGCCGUUGGCAGGUAUGAUUUGAACUUUUGGAGUUCGUUUAGUUGGAUAAGUAUGCAUGCGUGAUAUCCAGGAGUUCUGCCACAGGUGCGAGGAAGCUGUUGGUCAGUGGCCGUUGAAUCUACUCCAGGAUAAGCCAUACGGGAUACAUAGAUAAUCAUCAGAUGUGUCGAGAGGAGGAGAGGUUCGAGUUCUGAGGCGGCCGCAUAGCGCAACGGCAGUUCAUUUCUCACAGCAACCACGCCGCCGCCAGCACCACACACAUACACAUCUACAUGACAGCUCGAUCAAAUCUCCAACAUGUUAGGAAAUAUGCAACUUAUCUCUAUUGAAGGCCCAAGGGGCAUAUAUAUAUUACACGUGACUUGAGGUGUAAGAAAACUAAACAUAGACUAAUAAGGACUCCUAGACCAAUACUAAUACUCCUUAACACCCCUCCUCAAAUGCAAAGCGUAUGCAAUAGCAUUGCAUUUGAAGAAGUGUAAUACCAAAAAAUAAUAAUUGAUAAUCCAAAUCCGCGUCUUGAGAGUGUCGUCGUAGCAUGAAGAGUCUUCAAAACCUGUCGAGUCACCAAAGGGGAUAACGAAGAGAUGGCACAUCAGAGGAAGACACCGCAUCGAUUGAAGAUACAAGAUAAGUAUCAAGAGAAGAUGGGUUGCCAAAAGAAGAUGGCACAUCAGAGAAUAAAGCAUUGUGCAAAAAAAUCAUGGUCCACGACAACCGACGGCGAAAGAAGCUCGACGGUUAAGGCACGAUGGACGAAGAUCGACAAUGCAAAAGGAGUCCAAAAAAUCAUAUAGAAAACAACAAGGGCAAGUAAGCCACAAAAGUUGUAUAGAAAGGAUCAGGACCAAAGAAAAGGCUGAUGAACAAUGGUAUGGUGGACUCACAUGACAUGAGAAAACACAAAAUUUCAACGAAUUUGGUGGACACAGCGGAAAACAGAGAAAACUAAUCUGCCAAAAAGCUAGGAAGCAUAAACGACACAAAGAUGCAAAAUCCAUCGUGUAUGUAGAAGACAUUGGACUGUUUUUUUUUUUUUUUUUUUGAAAUCAAGAUGGGAACGGACAUACGCUAGCACGCGGUCACAUACGUGACGGUAAGACAGCAGCUAGCAUGCAGGAACGAACACAGCAGCAAAGCAGCAGCUAUAGCUCAGCAGCCGGAAGCGAUCUGGCCAGGGAGGUGAAGGCGGCCUCGGCCUUGAGCUGGACGAGGCGACCUCAACUUGGAGCUGGACGAGGUAACCCCGAUCUGGCGCACAGGUGUGAACGCAGCAUAGUAGCCAACCAGGCAAGGCGGGCUUUGAUCCAUGCAGACGAUCACGGCUGGGCAGGCGCACGUCACGGGCGCACUCGUCACCAGUUUGGAUCGAGCGAAGCAGCUGGGCGGCAGGUGCCCCACGCAGCAUGAGAACGACAGCGGAAGACGAGAUCGACCCUGAGAAGAAUAGAUCGAUCGAGAAAAAAAAAUCUAGUGGAUCGUAAGGACGAGUUGCGGCGUCCGGAGACCUAAACCUAGGCUCUGAUACCAUGUUAGGAAAUAUGCAACUUAUCUCUAUUGAAGGCCCAAGGGGCAUAUAUAUAUUACACAUGACUUGAGGUGUAAGAAAACUAAACAUAGACUAAUAAGGACUCCUAGACCAAUAUUAAUACUCCUUAACAUUGUUGAGUAACGUGAUUGUAUAGGAAAGCUAGGAUAGCGUAGGAUAUUAUUCUACCUUGCCUUGUACUCCAAGAUGAUCAUGUACUCCUAUAUAUAUGCCCACGAGGCUCAAGCAAUACAAUUGACUAUUCCACCAAUCCCUCUCUCUCCCUUCUAACAUGGUAUCAGUUUCCGGGUUCUAAACCUUAGCCGUCGCCGCUUCCACACCCGCGCGCCGCCCCUGGGGCGGUCCGUCUCCAUGACCGCCGCCGGGGGCCGCGUCGCCCGUACCUAGGGUUCGUCCGCCGGCCGUGUUGGCCGGCUACCCUAGAGAGUCUUUUUCCCGAUCCUUUGAUCCGGGUUUUUCUCUCUCUCGCCGGUCGCUUUGAUCGGCGUUUACUUUUUGGUUUUCUGAUUCACUCGAUCGGUUUGCGUCGCCCACCGCCGCCGUCGACACCUGGCGCCUCUACUCCGACAUCGGCGCGACCGGGCGGCUACUUCACCGACCCGGCGGCCUCGUGUGACAGGCAGCCCUCAAGGCCGUCGUCCGCGCACCGGCCCGCCCGUCGCCCUGCGUCAGCCAUCACCGCCCUGCUCCGACCGGGACUCUUGCAUCACCCGACCCGGCGGCCUCGCGCCAUGCGGCGGCCAAUCAUAGCCGCCCUGUCGCCCGCCGUCGUCGGCCUCAUCCAGGACUCCGCCGCCACCACGCCUCCAUCGAGCGGCGUCCCCGUCCUCGGACGCGAUUGGCUUGAUCACCCGCUUGCCGCCGCGAUCUGCCUCAUCUACGCCGCGCGACCAACCUCGACCGUUGGUGACGCGCGCCUCCGCACGUCCCGUGAAGAUCGUCCUGAGUACCGCGCGCCUAUCCACCGAUCGAACAUCGGGCUACCGCUGCGUCGCCCCGUCGGGCCGCAGUGCCGCCGCCCCGUGGUUCUUCUCCCGGCUGCACCGACCCGCGUCACCGCUGCGUCGCCCCUUCGGGCCGUAGUGCUGCAGCCCGCGGUCCACCGCCGCCCCUGGGCCGUCCGCUCCAUGACGUCCCAUGGCUGCACCGACACUCGCGCCGCCGCUGCGUCGCCCCGUUGGGCCGUAGCGAGCGUGGCACGCGGUCCACGCCGCCGUCCCGAGGCCGUCCCGCGGUUGCACCGACCCGCGCUCCUCCGCCGCGCCGCCCCUUCGGGCUAUCGCGACGCGGCCCGCGGUCUCUGCCGCCGCCCCGAGGUCUUCCCGCCGUCACCCCGACCUACCCGCCGCCGUUGCGUCGCCCCUUUAGGCCGUAGUGCCGCGGCCCGCGGUCCACUUCGUCGUCACCGCACGUCGACUUCCCGUGGUAUGCGCCGCGCCGUCUUCCUUGGCGCGGGAACGCCACCGUCCGCGCCGGUCUUCAUCAUGCUGUCAGGGUUCUUCGCCUACUUCGAGCACCGCCGCCGCACUCCUAACCUAGCCGCCGCCGCCGCCGCUCUUCAUUGGCCGCCGUCGGCUACCUCCGUAGCUGCCGCCGCCGCCCGUCCACCCCGUUCGUCUUCGUCUAGCAUCCAGCCCGUCACCAGCAUCGCCGUCAUCUACCCCGACCACUUCGUCUACUCCGACCACCGUUGGUGACAUUGGCCCCGUGCCGAUGGAUGCCACAACCGUCGUUGAGUUCUUCUCUGCUGGCCCUCCGACUUCUUCUACAUGGCGUACAGCUCGUGCAGGUCCCUAGUCUACGCAUGCCCGGUGCUGGCAACACCGUCGCGUGCCUUCGUCCACAACGUGUCCCCGGGCCUGGCAAGCCUGGUGCGACGCUUCGUCAACUUCGUCUUCGUCCGUCUACGCAUGCCCAGUGCUGGCAACACCGCCGCGUGUCUUCGUCCACGACGUGUCCCCGGGCCUGGCAAGCCUAGCGCGACGCGUCGUCAACAUCAUCUCCGUCCUGGCGCACCACUACUUCGACACCACUGCGCCCAUGCUAACUUGGCGCCCCCUUGCGCCCGCGGCUCCACGGCGACUUCCUCGACACCGGCCACCCUGACUCGACAUCGACCACGGCAUUCUUCGCACGGCUACCUCGACCACGGCUCCACCACCCACGCUCUCGGCUACAUCGACAAACGGCACAAAGGGCUACCGCCUGCUUGAGCAACCUCGUCGGUUGCCACUCCAGCCACGACUCCGCGAUGCGUCGAUCGUUACGACUGUGGGGGGGUGUCCGUCGGCUUGCCUUCGGAUUCUUCUCCAGUCUCAUCGUCUGCGUCGCUACCGUUGUGACUGCGAGGGGAUGUUGAGUAACGUGAUUGUAUAGGAAAGCUAGGAUAGCGUAGGAUAUUAUUCUACCUUGCCUUGUACUCCAAGAUGAUCAUGUACUCCUAUAUAUAUGCCCACGAGGCUCAAGCAAUACAAUUGACUAUUCCACCAAUCCCUCUCUCUCCCUUCUAACAUAUUGAAUUCAUGCUCCAACCAACUCAUCCAAAAGUCUGAACUGAUGGAGGGAGGCGGACAAUAUUUCAACACUCCCCCUCACGUCUAGGCUAUUAUAGUCCUUAGACGUGGGAUCGAUGUAGGUCGCAGAAUUGUUUUAUUUAAUACUGCGUUGGCAGGGUCUUGAACUCAAGACCUCUUGGCUCUGAUACCAUAUUGAAUUCAUGCUCCAACCAACUCAUCCAAAAGUCUGAACUGAUGGAGGGAGGCGGACAAUAUAUUUCAACACAACACAACAUUAGCAAUCACGGCUCCUUGCAAUCUUUACUCCGCGUCUCCAUUUCAAGGACCGGAUCGGUGAUGUUACUUGGUAAGUGAGCCGCAUGAAGGUGUGAAAUGCGGCUAUUUUAUUUCUUUCUUCCGUUUUCUUCUUCCAUUGCAGGUUGGUAAUGCCUCGCCUUUCAACCUGACGAUCGAAUCGUUGCCGCUGGCGUUUUACCGUUUGAUCUACAAAAGGAAUAUAUGACGUCCUGCGGCUCUACCCGAUGCUUCAAUCAUCGCCGCGGAUAUGCCAUGAUCUGAUGUAAAAAAAAGAGUUAUUGCAUCCCGCGGCUCUACAUGACGAUCUAAUCAUCGCCGGGGAUGUGUAUAGAUCCAAUAUGAAAAAAAGUGAGUGAUGACAUCCAGCGGCUCUAUAUGACGAUCUAAUCGUCGCCGCGGAUGUCUAUAGAUCCGAUAUGGAAAAAGAGAGUGAUGACAUUUACUGGCUCUACCUGACGUUACAAUCGUCGCCGCAGAUAUGCCACGAUCUGAUGUGAAUAAAAGAUAGCUAUUGCAUCCCGCGGCUCUACUUGACGCUUCAAUCGUCGCCGCGGAUGUAUGAUAAUGAUGUAUUAAAAGAGACAAUUACGACAUCUCGCGGCUCUACCUGACACUCCAAUCGUCACCGUGGAUGUAUGAUGAUCCGAUAUAAAACGGAGAUGGUAUGACAUCUUGACUCUAUAUGGCGAUUGAAUCGCUGAUGUGGACUUUUCACCGUCAAGUGGCCGCCUUGUCAUUUUUUUUACCCUUUGAUCUUUAUUUAUUUGAGUUCUGUUGAUUUGUGAUGAUCUACAUGCAAAUUCGUGCAUGCAUUACUGUACACGUACCAGCCUGCAUGGGACAUGGCAUGAGCAGAAGCCUUCCCGAGACUGCAACAUAUACACACAUCCUGAACUAGAGUUUGCAAGCAUUUACAAAGAAGGAGAUUCACUUGACAUGCAGAGGUCAACUUCAUAAUGAGAGUGGAGCACGUACCAACAAUGACAUGGCCAUCUUCACAGGGAUAAUAAGACGCCAUUGUUCAAAGUUUAUACACUCAUUAUUCACGUCGACUGUCAGUUCAUUAUUCAAUCUCUCUUCUUUUUUUUAACCCACGAGGCCGGAAUAUGAUGCAUACAUAUCCUAACCGCCAUGGUUUGAAACACAUAGUCUGCGACCGACGGGGCCGGCCGGACAACUGCUUCAAGGCUUCAUAUCAGAUUUUUGACCGACUGCUCAUGGAGAGGUGGGGCUCAAUAUUACAUGGUUGAUGAUAUGUUAUGACUACAUCUUUAGCAAUGCAGUUUUUUUUUUGUCCCGAGCAUUUUUAGAAGGGCUUAUCUUGAAUCAAAAGGUCAUGUUGUAACUCCUUGACAUGUAAACAUUUCUCAUAGUGGAUUUGGCCUCCGUGCCACCGUGGUUUUUUACCCAACUUGGGUUUUUCUACGUUAAAAUGUGUGUCCCCUGUCUGUGCUUUGAUGAUCUGUUUUAUUUCCAUGCAUAUAAUUAUGAAGGGUGAGAUAGAGAUUUUAUAAAGAUAAGAUGAUCAUUUGAUUCAGCUUAAUCGGAGGUAUUGUGCAAGUGUAGAUUCGCAGAUGUAAUUAACUGGAAUUAUUUCAAGGUUCCAGGAAUUAAGGACUUCUGCAAUCGUCUCAGUCAGAUAUAUAUAUUCAGGCGCAAUAUGGAACAUACAUGUGAAAUAGAAAUAGGCAAUCCUUUGAUAAUUCGAUAAAGUGUGAGUCUCCUAUUUCCGUGUAUUCGAAGUAAUGAAUUCGUAUACGCUCGUAUACUGGCACGCCUGCACCUAAAAUGCCAACGCAGGUAGAUUUAAUAUUUAUCUUGCGAAAACAGGUACCACCAAAAAAACAUAAUGAACUAUAGGUUGUCACAAGAACUCAUGCCAUCCCACAGCCUCCCUCCGACCCUGCCAACAUUGUUGCAGCUGCACUCGGAACCAUUACCAUAGAUGAUCAUUUGCAUGAUUUCACGUAAAACAAAAUAAGAUCUACAAACGAAUAGAAGCUACACAUACCUUGGCAUGCACACACAUUGCAAGCCAUACUAAGCUGAUAAGUGUUAAUAACUUGUACAACAUAUACAACACUUAAGAUAAGUAAAAGCAAUUUGAUGAGUCAUGGUCUACCAAAGCAAGCUGCAGUAUUACUCUAAUCUAUCUUAACAGGUCACACAUGAUUACAAUCCUUUUUGUGUGCAAGUCAAGCUUAUCUAGUUUACACCUAACAACUUGUAGAACAUUACACAAUUGAUGUUUGCUAAUAACUUCUAGAAAGAUACACCAAUUGACAUGUAAAAGGAAUUUGAUGAGUCAUGACCUACUAAAGCAAGUUACGUUACUAGUCUCAUCUAUCUUAACAGGUCACACAAGAUUACAAACUAAGUUCUGUGUAAGCAAUGCUUAUCUAGUUUACAAAUAACAACUUGCAAAACAUUACAAACUUAGUUUCAAAAAAUUAGGCAAUCUAGAUUAGUGUUUGAGCUGUAAAGUGAAUAAGAUGAGUCAUGUGUGUUAUCACAACUUUUUGGUGGUGGAAUGAUAGUGCCACCAAACACAACAUACCAAAUUAUGAUUUCAGGAAGCACCCAAGCACUUUCCAGACAAGCAAAUGCCAAUUGUGAAGGAGAUGAUGCCAUGGCAGCUAUAAAUAGGCCUAUAGCAUGAUGAUCAUCCUUCAGCAUCCAUCAUUCUCAUAAGUAGAGUGCAUCAUUCAAGCCAAGCAAGCAGUGGUCAAUACAAAUCCACCAUGAAGUCAUUUCUCAUCCUUGCCCUCCUUGCUAUCGUGGCGACCACCGCCACAACUGCAGUUAGAGUUCCAGUGCCACAAUUGCAGCCACAAAAUCCAUCUCAGCAACAACCACAAGAGCAAGUUCCAUUGGUGCAACAACAACAAUUUCUAGGGCAGCAACAACAAAAAUUUCCAGGGCAGCAGCAACCAUUUCCACCACAACAGCCAUAUCCGCAGCCGCAACCAUUUCUGCCACAACUACCAUUUCCGCAGCCGCAACCAUUUCCACCACAACAAUCAUAUCCACAACCGCAACCACAGUAUCCACAACCACAACAACCAAUUUCGCAGCAACAAGCACAACAACAACAACAACAACAACAACAAAUCCUUCAACAAAUUCUGCAACAACAACUGAUUCCAUGCAAGGAUGUCGUCUUGCAACAACCCAACAUAGCACAUGCUAGCUCACAAGUAUCGCAACAAAGUUACCAACUGUUGCAACAAUUAUGUUGUCAGCAAUUGUGGCAGACCCCCGAACAGUCACGGUGCCAAGCCAUCCACAAUGUCGUGCAUGCUAUUAUUCUGCAUCAUCAACAACAACAACAACAACAACAACAACAACAACAACAACAACAACAACAACAACAACAACAACAACCGUCGAGCCAGGUCUCCUACCAGCAGCCUCAACAAUAAUAUCCAUCGGCCCAGGGCUCCUUCCAGCCAUCUCAGCAAAACCCACAGGCCCAGGGCUUUGUCCAACCUCAACAACUGCCCCAGUUCGAGGAAAUAAGGAACCUAGCACUGCAGACGCUACCUGCAAUGUGCAAUGUCUACAUCCCUCCAUAUUGCUCGACCACCAUUGUGCCAUUUGGCAUCAUCGGUACUAACUGAGAAGAGAAGAACUCUAGUACUAGAUAUAUGAAACACCGUUUUCUUAGACCAUGGUUUGGUCGUUGUGGCGGUGAAAAAUAAAGUGACAUGAUCUAUCAUGUAAGAACCCGAACUAUACUAUUUCAAACUUGGGAAUAAAAGACAAACACAGGUCUUUUCUGCAUAUGAUUGUUUGUUUGAGUUCCAUUCAUGUGCCCGUUCACAAGUUCACCCCUAAUUAUAUAUAUUAAGCAUUAAUUAGAUGUUUAUGUGCAUUAAUCUAAAGAUAACAGAAUGAAUCUGAAACUUGAAUUUAAUUGAAGUAUUUUCUUAGACUUUCAAAUUGAGCAUUGAUAGUGAGGACUAUCCACAUCCUUGGCUUGCCCUUGAUCAAUUCUUUCCAAAUAAGCAUUCAAUUCAUCAGUCAAUUACAUUGAUUUUUGUGGCUUGUACUUCUCCUCAACAUGAGUAUCUUCGUUGCGGCUACUCCAAAUCUCCCACAUAACUGAAGCAUUAAUAGCACUCUUCCUUACAUCAAGAAAAUAUGGAUCGAAGAUAUGUCUUGACCAUGUUUCUGGGUGCAACCUUGGUAGUUUUAUGUCAAAAUAUUCUCAAGCAGAAUCCAAGAAUAAACUUGCAUGCUCACGUGUGAUAAGGGCAUAUGAAGUAACAUUUCCUCACCAAGGCCACACAUAGGGCACACACAUAACCCCAUCACAUGCCUUUUUAGUUAUGCAUAUGAAGGUAGGAUGUUUUUAAUUACUCUGCACCAAAAUACUCUUAACUUGGGUUGUAACCCAAGCUUCCGUUGCCUUUUAAAUUUUUCUUCCCCAUUAGAUGAACUAGACAGUCCAGCUACCACACGAUACCUUGUGUUCAUCACGGCUCUGUACAACAAUUGAACAGAAGAAAUGUCAUUUAUUUACCAUACCCAUGACCAAAUGUUCUCUCCUACUCCCUCCGUCCCAAAAUACUUGUCAUUAAAAUGGAUAAACGAGGAUGUAUCUAGAUGUGUUUUAGUUCUAAAUACAUCUCUUUUUGUCCAUUUUGAUGACAAAUAUUUCCGGACGGAGGGAGUACAUUAUUUGGUCGUGGCAUAUUAAGGAUGGCCACUUCACCUGAUGGGAUAAACACGUAAUGAAUGAAUGGAGUGUUCCAGUCGCGCGUGUUUUUUCAUCGAUAAGAUCAGCUACAAGUUGGACCAGAGUUCCUCACAUGUAUCAUAGUGGUUUCAUCAGCGGCGUGCCCUGCACCCAUUUAGCAUACCAUAUCUCUGUAGUAUGUGCAUUCCCAAUUUUUCACAACAUACCCUCCUUCAAACCUUCUCAUCCUUUCAGAAUAGCAUGCCAAGUUAACGAUGCACUAUGCGGGAACCCGCAUUUGAAAAAAAAAUCAUUUCAUGGUAUCUUCCGUGAAGGACCCUCGUACAUGAGCUAUCUAGAUAGAAAUAGUCAUGUGUGUUUAGCCAACUUUGUAUAAGUGAAUAUAUCAAGGUCGUGGAACCCCAAGCCUCCAAUUACACCCGGCCUCUCUACCAACAAGAUGUCCAAAGACAUCAAGGAUACACAUCCAAAAAAGAAAAUAAAAAGAACAGAAGAAAAAAAAUACCCCUCCAUGGUGAUCAAUCGCUAGCAUGCAUCAGUAGCACUCUAACCAUCACCGAAGACAAUGCCCGGAUUACAAAAAAGGUUCUCCAAAAGCAACGCCCCCAAAAAGGAAACAAUGCACAAGCGUUGUCGUUGCCCGAUCGAAGAUCGUGGGUAUUCACCUUGGAAAAAUUCCGAGUUCACCCAAAAACAAUGCCUUCAACAAGGCCAUUGCCAAGUACAAACAAUGAGGACCAGACCUUGGGUUUUCACCCUAGGAAUUGAGAAUCGAUACUCGAGGAGUACCACCAAAAAUACAUCACCCACCUCUUGAUCCAGACCUGCAGAAAAAGAUCAAAAACGCCGCAUCGUGCCACCCGUAUCCGUGGAGGCCUGAACUUGGCAAGACGCCAAACAUGGCUGGAGAUGGGGACCAACCACACCUGGCCAGAUCUGGUGACUCCUAGUCCCACCGCUGCCGCUACAGCAGCACCGCGUGUAGCAUACCAUCCCAUCUACGCUGUUGUCUGAUUAGAAGGAUACAUGGAUAUACAUAUGGAAAGGCCCACAUUUUCCCUCCAACAAUAUAAAUAAAGCUUAUUAGGAUGUGAGAAAGCUCACACAAUUUUAUACUGGCUAUGCAAACGUGUUCCCCGCUUCUACAGGAUACCCGCCGCCGAACUCACCAUCCGUUCUACACAAGCAGUAAAACCGAUCGGAUUACCAUUUCGGUUGUUACUUCUAUAGUCUAAUGGAACGAUCACUUCCAGAAUUACGCCAUGGUGCCAUCUUUUAUAUGCAACAUAUUGUGAACUGUAUUUUCUGUCAGUGAAGUUGACAAAAUAGAGUAAUACAGGGUACAGGGGUAGAGCAUGCAGGUGGUGGUUGUUGUGUGGUUUGUGUGUUAGUUAUGUGUGUACCUGGCGUCGAAGUAGCGUUGGCUGGCCAGCUGCAGCUCAUAGGCGCACGAGCACAACGGUGGCACGGCCACCACCGCCUCCACUGCGCGCAACGCCGAGAAGCAACAAGCAUGUUAGAAUUUGUCCGUGGACACUCGAUGGAUCGACCUGAUCGAUCACUCAUUUUGUGCAUACUCACCACCACACAUGGCUGAACCGAGCAUCCUCCUGGCGGCGCCCAAUGAGACCGUCCUCGCAGCGGCCACGGCUCGAUAGUUCGCCCCCAUGCGCGCGGUACGGUGCCGCAGCCUGCAGUCAAAACAGAGCACGCAGAGCACUAUCGGUGAGAUUGAAGGAGAGGAAUAUUGAAAUGGAAACUUAGCUAUAGGAGGUGAAGGCAAGGGGGGCUGGUGCAAGGGGAGGGAGACUCCUGGAGCUAGGGAGCACGCGGACGCCAUUUCUCAUGGUGCAAGUUUGUUUCAAUCUCCGAUCCUGCUCGCUGUUGAUUAUGGGUACAGUAAAUUUUAGCUAGCUACGAUGCAAACUAAGUGGUAUGCCUGGUCUUAACCUAUCUAUCUAUGUUAUCUUCUAUUCGGCGAGGUGGCUGCGCCUGUGGCGGAUGUGGCCGCUGCCAUGCCUUCCACCUGACCUGGUCAAUCUCCCUCUCCUAUAUUCGAGAAAAAAAAAGAUCUUUGUCUUCUCUUCUGAUCAGAUGGGGAGGAGAUGGUGAGAGAUGAGGUCAAUGGCUUUGGGGAGAGGAUAAGGGCGGACGCCAGCAGUGAGGCGGCAUGAGGAAGAUGAGGUGGUUAGCGGUGGCGACACAUGAGGGGAGGGGAAGGGAGGGGUAGCGUUGCAAGGAGGGGAGUGGGUGUGCGGCGUGCCCAGUUCACAAGAGAGGAGAGAGGUCGUCAAGGGAGCGAUCCAUGGGAGUUUUUUUCCUUCUAAGCGAGCCUAGUUGGGCUCUCUGCAGCGUCCAAGGCCCAAUGCACAACAUAUCUUCAAAUUUGCCACCAAUAGCAGCCCUUAGAACAGACAAGGCCAGUUUGCAAGUUUUAAAACAGAACUUUUUUAGUGCGCAUGAAAAACAGAACACGUAUCUUUCCACACAUAAUGAACUAUAGGUACGACCAAAAGAAAAACAUAACGAACUAUAGGUUGUCACAACAACUCAUGCCAUCCCACGGCCUCCUCCGACCCUGCCAAAAUUGUUGCAUCUGCACUCGCAAGUGUUACCGUAGAUGAUCGCUUGCAUGAUUUCACGUAAAAUAAAAUAAGAUCUACAAACAAAUAGAAGCUACACAUACCUUGGCAUGCACACACAUUGCAAGCCAUACUAAGCUGAUAACUGUUAAUAACUUGUACAACAUAUACAACACAUAAGACAAGUAAAAGCAAUUUGUUGAGUCAUGGUCUUUCAAAGCAAGCUGCAUUACUACUCUAAUCUAUCUUAACAGGUCACACAUGGUUACAAUCCUUUUUGUGUGCAAGUCAAGCUUAUCUAGUUUACACGUAACGACUUGUAGAACAUUACAGAAUUGAUGUUUGCUAAUAACUUCUAGAACACUACAACACUUUACAUGUAAAAGGAAUUUGAUGAGUCAUGACCUACUAAAGAAAGUUACAUUAUACUAGUCUCAUCUAUCUUAACAGGUCACACAAGAUUACAAACUAAGUUCUGUGCAAGCAAUGCUUAUCUAGUUUACACGUAACAAAUUGCAUAAUAUUACAAACUUACUUUUAGAAAAUUAGGCAAUCUACAUUAGUGUUUGAGCUGUAAAGUGAAUAAGAUGAGUCAUGUGUGUUAUCACAACUUUUUGGUGGUGGAAUGAUAGUGCCACCAAACACAACAUACUAAAUUAUGAUUUCGGGAAGCAUCCAAGCAGCCAGUUCUCCUACCAGCAGCCCCAUAACCAAUAUCCAUCAGGCCAAGGCUCCUUCCAGCCAUCUCAGCAAAACCCACAGGCCUAGGGCUCUGUCCAGCCUCAACAACUGCCCCAGUUCGAGGAAAUAAGGAACCUAGCGCUGCAGACUCUACCAACAAUGUGCAAUGUCUACAUCCCUCCAUAUUGCUCGGCCACCAUUGCGCCAUUUGGCAUCGUCGGUAGUAACUGAGAAGAGAAGAACUUUAGUACUAGAUAUAUGAAACGCCAUUUUCUUAGACAAUGGUUUGGUCGUUGUAACCAUGAAAAAAUAAAGUGACAUGCACAUGUCAUGUAAGAACCCGAACUAUACUAGUUCAAACUUGGGAAUAAAAGACAAACACAGGUCUUGUUUGCAUAUGAUUGUCUGUUUGAGUUCCAUUCAUGUGCCCGUUCACAAGUUCACCCCUAAUUAUAUAUACUAGUAAAUAUGCCCGUGUGUUGCUACGGGCCAUGCAUUGUCUAAA